UUGGCGAUUUGGCAUCCUUGGCGCAGAGUGGGGCACACGAAACUUCGCUUUUACCAAUGUGACAACCGGUUUGUUUGGGUGAAUACCUAUUUAAAAGCUGAGCAGUGAAUAAUAAUAAUAAUCAGCUGAUGUUUAACCACAGUUGGUGAAUACGGCCGCCAACUUGUUAACCCGGCACAAGCCACAAUCCGUUCUAAACUCUGGAGCAUAAGCUGGAGAACAAACAUUCACCAUCCAUCCACAAUAAUAAAAAAUUAGCAUUAUUUCAUAAAUUCAGGCCUGAACAAUCCUUCUGGUCUUAACUCUGUCUUGCAGAAAGAAGAUUCUUGAGAUAUUAUAAAGGUAACAGACCAGGACAAGAUGCAGCUUUCCCUGAAAAAUCAAACUCUCUCUUUUGCUGUAAAAGUUUGGUAGCACCUAGGGUAAUAAAAUCCGAAGCAAAUUUCUCCAACUGAAUAGAAGUUUUUCAAGUGUUCAUCCUCACUCCAGCUUCACUCAAAGACAUUUCACCUUCUAAAGGAACUCUUUCACGCAGAUUCCAAAAAAGUAAAAAAAAAAAAAAAAUGAAUAUCCCUCCAGUUUGCUCAAUCAGGAAUGUUGCAUCACUGAGAGAAAUCACACUUGUUUCUGGGGCAAUUUUAUUAACAGACUGGGAUAAAAUUAAGCAUAUGGUUGAAGACUUACACAGACACAUGAAUUUCGAAAUUGCAAAUCCUGGAACUCAUUCGAGAAGGAUAACUUAUCCAACUGUUACAGAAGCAUUUAAAUACGAGGCGGAAGAUGCACUAAGGGAUAUCUGCAUCCCCGAAACACUUAAAAAAGAACUUGCCGAAUGUGUUUACAAAAUUUCUUCCGAAAUCUUCAACUUCUAUAUCAUAAACUUUGACCUUAUGCAGGAAGCUGCGAGCCUGAAGGAUUUCAUUGUCUUUAACUCCGAUGGAUCGAUAAAUCAUUAUAGGAGUCACCAACGUAUCAUAAGGGAAACUAAUCUGAGUACCAGAAUAAGAUUUGCCAGCGCCUGCCAAUAUUAUUCCGUAGAGGAACUUAUAGCGAUAUGGAAUGAAGUGGUUGCACCUGCGAUUUUUGGGAGGAUUUAGUUUUUGUUAUGGCUGUUAGAAGUAUUGCUGUGGGAAUCAUGUUCUCUGAAAAGCAAAAGAUAAAGAUGGGCACACUCUUGUCAGUUUCGUUUUUUACUGCUAGUUUAAGCAGUCCAGUAAUAAAUUGAGUUUCAUUUUUGAUUCCACAACUAAAAAUUGUAAACUAAUAUAUUCGCAACUAAAAAUUAUAAAAAUGAUAUUCAUCGAAAGACUUAAUAACAUUUUUAUAAUAGAAUAACGUUGCCAUUCCACCAACACAUAGACUCUUGACGAAACUAUCGAAAUUAUAGAGAAAUUUGAGUAGAUGUUGUGGAUAUUUUCUAUAAUUAAGCAAGAAAUUAUAUGAUAGCACAAAUAUAAUGGGGCUGAAAACUUUCUUGCUUGUCUCACUACUCAUCGAAUGUGAAACACGAAUAAAAGAUCAUCUCAAAGCAGCGGACUGCUACUUAACAAGACAUUCGGUAAAUGACUUAAUUACAUUUUUAAAACAGCAUGCACGUCAGGAUACUGGAAUAGACUAUUCCGAUGUAUAUGCUGCGGAUUAUUUCCAUAAUUAAAUAAGAAAUUAUACAUCUGUUCAAAUGUAAUGACGCAGUGAACUUUCUUGCUUUAUUCAUCACUCAGUAACUGUCAAAUUCUUUUGAUUAAAUGGAAAAUUCUCAAGUAGUAGAAUACUGUUUAACAUGACAUUCAGUAUAUGACUUGAUUACAUUUUUUUGAAUGCAAACAUCCUGCAUUAAAGGAUGAAAGAAAAAGUGAUGAAACUGGAAACUUUCUAGUUGUCUCUUUUUUCACGGUUGGUGAAAAUUAAUAGAACAUUUCGUGUAGUACUCUAGUAUUGUAUUAAUGUAAUUGUGUGUUUAAAUUCUGUGAAAAUUUAAAUAUUAUUGCAUGUUCGUGAUUUAAAAAUUCUGCUUCUAUAUUUUGUAAGUUAUUUCUUUCAGUUUGGAAAAAUGCGAUUUAAUUUGAUCAAUAUUUUCAUCCAUGCUUUUAAGUAUUUUAUAUAUUUGUGGGUGUUAUAUUUUUUAUUUGCUGUUUUAUAUAUACAUUUGAGAAGAAAGUACUUGCUAGCUUGUGUGUUGUUCACUUAUGUCACAGCUAAUAUACUCAGCUGUCACAGCUAAUAUACAUACAUAGUUCUCAUGUUAAGAGAACUCUUUAAUUCAUUGUGAUUAUUCAUUUUGUUUUUUUAAUAACUCUUUGAGCUUUCGUUCCUCUAUUUUUCUUCUUUAUUAACGUAAUUCUUUUCUAUAAUCUAAGGAAAUUUAAAGUAAAUCUCGUUAAACGAACGUAAUUAUUUGAAAUAUUUAAAAUUUAAAUAUUAUCAAGAUUGUGUAAUUCAUCGAAUUUUAUAAAACUAUCCCAUUGGAAAUGUAUAAUUUUUGUGCAAAUUUAAUUGCUAUUAUUUGUUUAUAUUUUAAAGAUACUUAAUAUUUCGAAUAAUUUUAUUGUUUUGUAAUUCAACAUAAUUUUAUGAUACCAUAAAAACUUCGAAGAUUUUUCUUCGAUUCUAGUACUUUUAAUUUUACUAUCAUUUGAUAAUUUUAAAAAUAGUUUAAUUUUUUAGCUUUUAAUGCAUUGAUUCGGCAGUAUCUUGCUUUAUUCUUUAGGAAAAUGAAUAGAAAUAAGUAUCCAUUUGAAUAUAUGUAUCUUAGCACUCAGAACUUUUUGAAUGUUUGUUCAGUACUUGCAUAUGUAUUUUCACGCAUUAAAUAAAUUG